rnacentral:lncRNA from 1 species
AUGCAAUGACAUAAGUAUAUGCAACACAACAUCAAUGUAUCACAAUCAUGUUAUACCCCUCGAGCCGAAGCCUGGCGAUAUAACUCAAUAUCUUUCACAAACAUCAAUCAUUAUCAUAUCAUUAUAUAUCUAAACGCGCAACCUAGAAAUGCAUCAACCAAUACUCUUGUUUUGCAGGCGCUAGUCGCACACACAACAAUCAUAACCCAUAACCGAGACUCACCUCAACACUUAGAUGAAAGUUUUGGACUGGAAAC